CGGACGGGUGAGUAAUGUCUGGGAAACUGCCUGAUGGAGGGGGAUAACUACUGGAAACGGUAGCUAAUACCGCAUAACGUCGCAAGACCAAAGAGGGGGACCUUCGGGCCUCUUGCCAUCAGAUGUGCCCAGAUGGGAUUAGCUAGUAGGUGGGGUAACGGCUCACCUAGGCGACGAUCCCUAGCUGGUCUGAGAGGAUGACCAGCCACACUGGAACUGAGACACGGUCCAGACUCCUACGGGGAGGCAGCAUG
rnacentral:rRNA from 1 species